rnacentral:lncRNA from 1 species
CACAAAACUAAACAAGUCCCGUUGAUACAAGCAUGUUGAGUUGUUGUUGGGAGGUCAGAGGUACAUAUUAGGCGGAUCAAUAAUAUUCUUUGUCACUAUAAUAAUAUCUGGAUAAGCACGUGUGAGCACAUGCAAUCGCUUUUAUUCUUUGGCAUCCCCCCAACUCUCUCUCUCUCACAUACACACAGGAUAGAGAGUCAAGAUACAGACUGACAAACACACGAGUACACAGAUACACAAACGCAAGGGCGGAUUGUGAAAUCCCGAGACGCGCUAGUCUUUCUUGUCUCCGCUCUUUCACCACAUCCCCAGCAACAUCCUGCUUUCGAUCACUGUCGCAAAUUAAAUAACCUCAACCUUUGGCAAUAUUCCCCUUUCCCCUUCCACCCACCGCCCUGCCCGCAGCUCAAGGUUCGGCCACUAAGUGCAGAGACACACAGUCGAACAGUGCGGACAGGUGCACAGUCCAGUGGUGCUUGUUGGCAUGAGGUGAGACAUGUACAAUGUAGACACAUGUCCACAGUCCGGUGAGCACGGUGAGCAGGGAACGUGACCACCACGGCUGCUGACAGCAGCUACGUCAUGGCGACAGAGGGCGUUGCAGGAGGCAGGCAGGUCCACGUGAGGACGGGCUGCACGUGCCCUCAUCUCUCGGCACGUGCAGGUAACACCUGCUGGCACCAUGGCGGCUUUUGUAAGCAGAAUCACACAUCAAUCGUCUGCUUCCACAGUCUCAUGCCUCCUGCAGGAAAAUUACACAGACACACACAGGGUCCACCUGCACACUGCUCGAACACACACAGAUUAUAGGGUCGUGGGAUUCCAAGAGUCGUGGGAGUGCACUCAGUGAUGAUAACUUAUCAGGCCAUGAUUAUCUUCAACAGGUUGUCGUACCCAAUCGUCACACAGUCACCCCCCCCCCCCCCUAUACACACCAUCACCACCACCUGUAAGAAGGGGUCUUUGAGGUAGCCUGGUACAACAAUAAUACAAACACAAAACAUCUUUAUUAAUCCUGUUCAAGAAAUUGUUGAUCUGCCAACGUUACCAUUACAUAAUAAUGAGAUGUUACAUGAUACCUCAAGCAUGACAUUAAAUAUAAACAUACAUAACAAACAACCAGAAAAACCCGAGGACCCAGCAAUGUGAGAACCUCCAGUCAAAGACGCGUCCUAGUCAUCAUUCGAUUGUUUAUGUGGAUAGUCGCUCGUCAACCACGUGAUGUCCUCAUUAUCUAAUUUCUCGUGGCGGAGUCCAAACACCUUGCACCACGCUCAGCAGCUGACCUCUGACCUUGCGUAUGCGACGCUGUCCUGUCUUUAGCGCCAUCUUCCGAAACUAUGUGAUCGAAUGUGAUACUUGUUUAUGAUUGGGGGAGUUUUAAGCCGAUGUCAGAAAGUGAGCCAGCCUCAUGGCGAGCGAAUCAGGUUUCACAUCUUGAAACUGUGUGCCGAAGACCAGAUCCGACCCCAUAACCUCUGACCCUUGUUGAACUUGAUGACAAGACCUAUAUCUGUUAUGUUAGCGGGUGCCCUGUGGCGUCUCUGCUCCCAUUGUCCACCAGGGUUUCCGAUGUCACAGACCGGUCUACUCUAGCUGAUGCUGAUUGCUAGAGAACAGAGAGGACGAAGAAUGAGAAAAACGUGGCGGUGCACUAUUGUUACUUUCCUUUCCCAGAAAAAUAUUCGUUUAUCUGACACGACACAAUUUCAAUGGACUAUCUCAGGUGAAGAUCAAUGGUGUCAGCACCCAGCCAGGAGAAAAAGUGCAUUUAUACUUUCUUCUGCUUAUCAUCUUAUCUUACAUAAUUGCAUCUAAAGCUUCAUCAUCACGCGUCACUUUGUAGGUACAAACCAAUCUAGACUACCCCCUCGGAUUCAGAAGCCUGCCACCAAGGUCUGGCAUGAAAGAAAGGCGCUGGUUCAACUUCGGGGUCAGAGGUCAGGGGACGAGUUUCGACUUCUACAAACCUCUGCUCAUCUGCACCACCGACCCCUACUGGUGUCUGCAUCCAUACAUCAGACUGCAUCACCGACCCCUACUGGUGUCUGGAUCCAUACCUCAGACUGCAUCACCGACCCCUAUUCAAAAUCCAACUCCCUCUGCCUGUCACGCCCGCCUCUCCCCCUCACCCAUCCCUGUAUCUGCGCGUGUCUGCAUCGAUGCACGUGCUGGGGCGCCGGUUGGCUGUCUGCUGGUGUCUCCGUGUGAAGACGCAAUUUCCUGUUAUGAAGACUUUCUAGCGGCCUGUAAGUGUACACGCAUGCACUUGGGGCCCGUAACGAGCAAAGAGACCAGAAGUGUCCUUGAUUUACGCAAAGACACAAAGUGGGCAAAGUAGCUAACUUCACCCCCCACCACCACCACCACACACACAGACACACCACCAUCCUUUCCUCUGCGGCAGCAGGCAUUCGUUUGGAUUCACCAUCCAAAAACUGCUGACGUUGUGGAACCUUGUACGGCCUCACCAACGGACCACUUAGGCGAGGGGCCAGGCGAACUCGCCGAGGGCAACAGUUGUGACGAGACACGCAGCAGGGCGGCAAACACUGGUAGCAACUUGUCUGGCCCCCACGUCUGGGCUGGCUCAAAAGCCAAGGGGAUAAAAAAACCAACAAUCGAAAAGGGCGGCAAUAAAUCGCCAUUUUAUGUUGCCUAACGUCUGACUUCAACGGCAACAACCCGCCUCUUGCGACAACGCCCGCCGCUCCGCAAUGUCGCUCGUCACUCGGGCUUCUCCGUUCGCGGUAGUGGUCAGCGACGCCCCGUACCUUCCACGAAGCAGUGACAACCCGCUCACCUGAAGGAGACGUCACACAGCCAGCUUCCCAGCAGGUGCACCAUCGUGACAUCACAUCUGAUGCUCGACUGUGGCAUCACACGGUUUAACGGCCACAGUUUAGCACUUUCACCGGCCUGAUCUGUCUGGGUCAGCCGUACUUUGUGUCUUGACAACGUCAACGGCCGCGUCUGACGCGAGGUCACAACGGUCCUAAGCUACUUUGAGGGCCAGCUGCACGCUCUUUGAUUAAAUCUUCGCCGCCAGGCCGGGCUGAGCAGCUGCAGGGGGUGGGGUGGCGGCACCCCGAUAAUUACCGCUGCCUACCCUCGACCCGCAGAUAAACCCUACGACCUUGUUGCGCACCGUGUCCCCUACGGCGUCAGCCGCUUGUCGAUGCACUUAAAUGAAGGUCUCACUGCGCAGGGUCUGACUCUGAGACCCCAAUUCCUGCUGUUCCCAGGCUCGAAGGAUGGGUUAAAACAAGGAGUAAAAACCAAAAGACGUCAAACCAGCUGUCAGGGCCUGCUGAUGCUAGACCGGCCUGAUGAUCCCCUAAUGCCAAAAAAAAAAAAAGAAAAAAAACAGUUGACAACAAUUAAAAAAAUAAAGCGUGGAGAGGCCAGAAGUUGGCAGGACUCUGAGGGAGAGGGGCGGGGACAAUUAUUGGGGUUAAAUUGUAUAACGAUGUGCAAGUGCUCGGGGGUGGGAAGACUUUAAAAAGGCUUUUGACAGGGUCUGCUACGAGGGGCUAUGGCACGUGAUACGAAAAUUCGACAUGAAAGAAGGUUUCGUCCAAGUCAUCGAAGCGCAGUUCCAAUCCUGCUGUAAGGAUGUGAAACGUGGAUCCUGCUUGCCUACAGAAGAAUCCAGUCAUUGGAGAACAAGUGUCAGAGGAGGCUGCUCCGGAUCUUGUGCCGAGAACAUAACCAAUGGCAAUGAAACACGGUUGCCACACUUCUAAGACACCAGGAACCUCUACUUGAAACAGUGCUAGGUACCAAUCAAGGGACGAAUGAAUGGAGAAGAGUGGAGAAGGGGAGAAUUAUUACGGGUUUAUUACGUGACGACAGGUGCGGGGGAAAGGUGGGAGAGGGAUUGUGCAACUCAGCAUAAAGCAUGAAGAGCUCGACUUCACAAGUAAGAAAAAAAAGGUGUAUGUGGGUGGAGUUGGCAGACGAUUAAUCUGUCGCCAGUCAAGGGUUCUAGCAAAAAUGCUUACGCAGAAAAUUAAAACAAACAAAACUCCCAAACCAUCGUCUCCUGCAGCCACAGAUAGAGCAGGGAGUUGGUGGCGGGGGCGGACUGCAAGUUAGCUUGAUAAAUUGGACUGAUCCACAACGAGGCUCCAUGGUCCACACGUGUUUGUUGGUGUCGGGGACUGAAGACUGGGGCAAAGGGUGAGGAUGGUCCUGCACAGGUAAUCUGGUGUGAGUGGCUAAUCAAUGCAUUGCUUACAGCUUCCAUGUUCAGCUUGGAACAACAAAAGAUUACUAUGAUUAUCAUCAUCAUCAUCAUCAUCAUUAUCAUACACACGCCUGGAAACGCUGACCUAGCCCCAGGCAGAACGAGAGGGAUUUUGAGGGUCCGGGCAGCACGCGACCCACCAGUCGAUCUGCACAACCGCAUGGGCGUGGCAACAUGGCGACCGCGAGCUUCUCCACGUUCGCAACAUGCAAUCGACAAUAAACCCCUGGCUCUGUG